GUGCGAUACAAGUGCCUUGAGGGCACCCGCUGGAGCAAACGGGCUUACAGUUGUAUUUGUCAACUUUUGUGUAUCCUUUUGUGCAUACACAAGUUUCUGGAGCUGUGCACGAGCCGUUGAUGCAGGGUUUUGAACAAAUCGGUUGACAGGUUUUCUUGGUGCUGCCCUUCGGUUGAACAAGUUGAUAGCCAGCAUUACAUUUACAAGAUUCGGGUGCGAUACAAGUGCCAUGAGGACACCCGCUGGAGCAAACGGGCUUACAGUUGUAUUUGUCAACUUUUGUGUAUCCUUUUGUGCAUACACAAGUUUCUGGAGCUGUGCACAAACCGUUGACGCAGGGUUUUGAACAAAUCGGUUGACAGGUUUUCUUCGUGCUGCCCUUCGGUUGAACAAGUUGAUAGCCAGCAUUACAUUUACAAGAUUCGGGUGCGAUACAAGUGCCUUGAGGGCACCCGCUGGAGCAAACGGGCUUACAGUUGUAUUUGUCAACUUUUGUGUAUCCUUUUGUGCAUACACAAGUUUCGGGAGCUGUGCACGAGCCGUUGAUGCAGGGUUUUGAACAAAUCGGUUGACAGGUUUUCUUCGUGCUGCCCUUCGGUUGAACAAGUUGAUAGCCAGCAUUACAUUUACAAGAUUCGGGUGCGAUACAAGUGCCUUGAGGGCACCCGCUGGAGCAAACGGGCUUACAGUUGUAUUUGUCAACUUUUGUGUAUCCUUUUGUGCAUACACAAGUUUCUGGAGCUGUGCACGAACCGUUGACGCAGGGUUUUGAACAAAUCGGUUGACAGGUUUUCUUGGUGCUGCCCUUCGGUUGAACAAGUUGAUAGCCAGCAUUACAUUUACAAGAUUCGGGUGCGAUACAAGUGCCAUGAGGACACCCGCUGGAGCAAACGGGCUUACAGUUGUAUUUGUCAACUUUUGUGUAUCCUUUUGUGCAUACACAAGUUUCUGGAGCUGUGCACGAACCGUUGACGCAGGGUUUUGAACAAAUCGGUUGACAGGUUUUCUUCGUGCUGCCCUUCGGUUGAACAAGUUGAUAGCCAGCAUUACAUUUACAAGAUUCGGGUGCGAUACAAGUGCCUUGAGGGCACCCGCUGGAGCAAACGGGCUUACAGUUGUAUUUGUCAACUUUUGUGUAUCCUUUUGUGCAUACACAAGUUUCUGGAGCUGUGCACAAACCGUUGACGCAGGGUUUUGAACAAAUCGGUUGACAGGUUUUCUUCGUGCUGCCCUUCGGUUGAACAAGUUGAUAGCCAGCAUUACAUUUACAAGAUUCGGGUGCGAUACAAGUGCCAUGAGGACACCCGCUGGAGCAAACGGGCUUACAGUUGUAUUUGUCAACUUUU